UUGGACUCGAACCAGGCAGCAUGCACUGUGGAAAAUGUCAUUUGUUAAUGUAUAGAUUUCAAUACCUGUUGAGGGUCCUGCUCCAUGGAUGAAAAUUGGAUCUUUUUCUCUCGACGCCACCGAACCAAAAAUGGGGUUUCCCUCUUUUUGGAAUGUGUUUAAUAAUGCGCAGUGGACCUGUUUUGUCUUCUCCUCCUCCUGUGGAAUAUGUGACGAUGUCAUCUGAUCACGCAACCUGUUCCAGGCUUGAAUGAUGUCAAUCUUUUGAGAUGAAAAACGGCACUUUGGGGGAUAUUUUCUUGCCUGUGCGCGGCUCCUGCCUGUUGUUAGAGUCUGUGGAGGAACGCACAAGUUUGCCCAAAACUGGACCAGGAUCUGGACACAGAACCGGAGCUGGGUCCGGGGGUGCAGCAGGUCUGAGCGGCUCACAAGGGCCACACUCUGGGGGCCAAAGGAGGGGAGAUGAUGAUGAAGAUGGGGCUGAUGAUGGUGGUGAAUGGCACCGGCUCCUCACUGUGUUUACUUAUGUGCGCAAUAGUCUUUCUCCCGCACGGCUCUUACUCGCACCCGCAGCCGUGCCAGGUUCUAAAACGGAUCGGCCACACGGUUCGGGUCGGGGUUCUGCAUGUGCAGCCUCGCUUGCUGCCGGACACCGGCGGUUCUGAUGUCUGGAAUAACGUGGGGGGUCCAACAGACAUCAGAGAUGAGCGAGUGCAGGUGGAAAAACGGGUUCCAAAAAGUGCCGCUUCGGAGUUCGGCAGCCUCCGGAGCAGAGGUUCCGCUCACAGCCAGCGGGGUUCGAGCAGGGGCAAAAUCAAUGCACGGCAGAGGGAAGAAAGCACGACAUGGGAUAAUGGUUUCUUCGCACCCAGAGAGUCCGUCCUGCUCGCGGUGGAGGCUCUAAACCGAGCCGCGGUUCUUCCCUUCAAUUUGUCCCUGGAGCUGGUCAUGGCAGUUGGGUCAGGACUCGGCGAGCUUCCCGCCUUCUCUUUCACCUCCCCGGGCAGCCCCGAAGACGAAGACCCGCUGUCUUUCGUGGAGAGCGUGUGUCACACCGUGGUCGUGCAAGGGGUGUCUGCCAUGGUGUCGUUCCCACGGAACCGGGACGAGUUUGUUAAGUUGGAGUUCGUGUCUCAAGCACUACAGGUGCCGGUGGUCAGCGUUGUUCCGAGGGAGUUUAGGCGCCACAGUGAGAAUCCUCUUCAUUUCCAAAUGGCCAUGCGGACAGUGGAGGCACCAGCGUCCCGUCUUCUCUCCUCUUUGUUGAUGAUGAAUGGAUGGUGGGACAUAAGUGUCCUGCUCUGCCAGGAAUGGGACAUAAGUGACUUCAUUUUCCUCAUCAAGAAUCACACCCGCUUCCACCUGGGUGCUCUUGUCAACCUGACAGGGUCAACCUCAGCACUGCCUUCGUCUUCUUUAUCAAACUCAGGAGGAACGUUAAGAAUGGCCGCAGGACCAGCAACGUCGUCGUCAUCAUUUUCCCACCAUUUAUCCUCAUCUUCUGAUUCUGCCUCCUCCACUAAAAUGGACCAGCAGCAGGCUCUCAUGCAGCAGUUGGGGGCCCUGAGAGAACAUUCAUCCACAGUAGGAGUGGUGACGUUCGGGUGUGAGAUUCGGGAGGUGCGGCGCCUGUGGACGCUGGCCACUCGGAUGACUUUGCCGGAAUUUCACUGGAUCUUGGGGGACAGCCAGAAUGUGGCUGAGUUGAGAACAGAGGGUUUACCUCUUGGGCUACUUGCUCACGGGGUCAUGGCGUCCCCCUCCCUGGAUCACUACGUCCAUGACUCAUUGGAGCUGGUGGCACGGGCUGUGGGAAGUGCAGCCCAGGAGAAUCCAGCCCUGGCGCUUAUUCCUGGAACUACCAAUUGUAUGGAUGUACAGCAGAGCAAUGGAAGCUCAGGGGGAUACUUAGCAAGAUUUCUUUCCAACGUGUCAUUUGAGGGCCAGAGCGGCUUCAUAUCGAGAGAUCGUCAGAGCCAGAAUGUCAUCUCAGAGGCCCAUCACUACAUCUGGUCCCUCCAGCUGGACCCCCUGGGCCAGCCAACCUGGACGAGGCUUGGACGCUGGCGCAGAGGGAAAGUUCUGAUGGAUCAGGGGGCCUGGCCGAGCCACCAGGGUUCUGGAGGGGGAGGUGACUGGCGCAGGCCCACAAGGCUGCAUUUGCGUGUGGUGACCCUGGUGGAGCACCCGUUUGUUUUCACCCGGGAGGUGGAUGGGGACGGUCUGUGUCCUGCUGGCCAGCUGUGCCUCGACCCGCUCUCCAAUGACUCAUCGGUUUUAGAGGGACUCUUUCAGAACCUCGCAGGGCCAAACGGCUCCAUACCCACCGACUCAAAGAAAUGCUGCUAUGGUUACUGUAUUGACUUACUGGAGAAGCUGGCGGAGGAUAUGGGAUUCACCUUUGACCUCUACAUCGUUGGAGACGGGAAGUAUGGAGGCUUUAAAAACGGUCGAUGGACGGGAUUGGUAGGCGACCUUCUCAGUGGUGCUGCUCACCUGGCCGUGACGUCUUUUAGCAUUAAUUCAGCAAGAAGCCAAGUCAUUGACUUCACCUCACCUUUCUUCUCUACCAGCCUGGGAAUCCUGGUCCGUACCCGUGACACCGCAGCUCCCAUUGGUGCCUUCAUGUGGCCUCUCCACUGGUCCAUGUGGCUGGGCAUCUUUGUCUCGCUCCACGUCACCGCCAUCUUCCUCACACUGUACGAGUGGCACAGCCCGUUUGGUAUGACGCCACGCGGACGGAACCGAGACCGGGUCUUCUCUUUCUCCUCGGCUCUCAAUGUGUGCUACGCUAUCCUUUUUGGGAGAACUGUUGCCAUCAAGCCCCCAAAGUGCUGGACAGGUCGUCUGCUGAUGAACCUCUGGGCAAUCUUCUGCCUCUUCUGCCUGUCCACCUACACUGCUAAUCUGGCGGCCGUCAUGGUUGGCGAGAAGACCUAUGAGCAGCUGUCGGGGAUCCAUGACCCAAAGUUGCACCAUCCCUCUCAGGGAUUCCGAUUUGCUACGGUGAGAGAAAGCAGCGCCGAGGACUACGUCAAAAAGAGUUUUCCUGAGAUGCACGAGUACAUGCGACGAUACAACGUCCCGGCAACGCCAGACGGCAUACACAACCUCAAGGCCGAUCCCCAGAAGCUGGAUGCUUUCAUCAUGGACAAAGCUCUGCUAGACUACGAGGUCUCCAUAGAUGCAGACUGCAAGACACUAACGGUUGGAAAACCAUUUGCUAUAGAAGGCUACGGGAUUGGGCUACCUCAGAACUCUCCGCUCACCUCCAACUUCUCGGAGCUCGUUAGUCAGUACAAGUCGGACGGCUUCAUGGACAUGCUGCAUGAUAAAUGGUACAAGGUCGUGCCCUGUGGGAAGCGCAGCUUUGCUGUGACAGAGACACUACAGAUGGGUAUAAAACAUUUCUCCGGCCUCUUUGUGAUGCUGUGUGUGGGUGUGGCCUUAUCUCUGCUGACCACCAUAGCGGAACACAUCGUGUACAAGCUGGUCAUCCCGAGGGUCAAGGAGCCACGCUUAAAAUACUGGCUGCACACCAGCCAGAGAUUACACCGAGCCCUCAACUCUGUCUUUGCUGAUGACAAACUGCAGACUGUCACCACUGUCAAAAGGUGCAAUGAAGGAAACAACCAGUCAGCAUCCUGGAAUCCGUCUGAAUCAUCUCUCUGCAACAGGCGUAGGGUUCUUCCAAAAGAGGCACAGAAUGACUUGGAACGGCCGUGCUCCCAGGACCUCUCGCUACCACCACCAGCUUCUGCUCGACCUCUUCAUCAUUCUCUUCCUUUACUGGAAAAACAUCUUCCCAAAGUGACCACCUCUAACGGACGCUCCAACUUGUUAGGUCGUGUGUGUAACCAAGGAUUGGGGCAAGGGCAGGGAAGCUCUGCACUGGGCGUGGCCCCAGGACAGUGUCGGGGUUUGGGUGUGGGGGACUGCGGUCCUGGCCUGGGUGUGGGGGACUGCGGCCCUGGCCUGGGUGUGGGUCAGAGCCCACUUGUGCAGGAAUUGUCAGAACUGGAGAGCCAAAUCACUGCGAUAAAGCAGCAGCUGCAGUCGGCCAUACGGAGGAAGCGAGAGCUAGAACAGUACCAAUCAGAGAACCAACAAGCAAACCAGACUGCACUUAGUCAGGUUACUACGCACCAGUCUAACCAGUUCCCACAGUACACACCGCCCCACCAGCAGACUAACCAACACCCAAACACACUCCCGGAGUUCUGAAACUUUUCCCCUGCUUUAUCCAGGGAAACCUUGUUACAUGUCUUGUCUUUUCCAAAACCUUGCAAUGGUUCUGGAAGAGGAUUACACAGCUGGAGCAUUCAUAGAUUCUGAAGGAGAACGUUGGACUGAGAUAUUCUCGAAGGAUCCGUCAGUCAUUUCCCGACAUGUGAAAUGCAAUAGACAGGAAGUACUACUGGAAAUAUUUCUUAACCAAGCACCAAGUCAGCCCUUCCAUGCUUGUUGCAGUUACUGGGUGGUCGCAUUGUAGCCCUUUGCACUUGCAACGCAGCCAACAACUCAUCAGUCAGUAAGUGUCCGGCUCCUGUAACAUUUAUUUUCAAGGAUUUCCUUUUGCGGUGCCACUGAUGUUAACCGACAGCUACACAUGUCCUUCCAUCUAAAAACUCCAUUAUAGUUUAAACCAACACCUGCGGCAACAUAACCAACCCCCGCGCUACGGCCAACCUUGAACUUAAAUUUGGGUGCUGCUCUAUCCCUCAUUUCUAUUGCUUGGAGAGAACAAUACAGACAAGGAGGCAGAAAAGCCAAGGACCUUGACACACACACACACACACACUAUUUCGUCAGUGUGUCUGCAGGGCAAGCGUAGGCUGUCAUCAUUGAAAUGAACACCUGACAGAGCAGAAGGGCAAGCGCACUGGCACAGCAGCCAGCUUUUUUUUUGUGUGUGUGGAUCAGUGAGAGAGUGUGCAUUUCUUUGUGCUGACGCACACGUCGCUGAAGUUGAUAAGGCCUUGACGGGAUGACUUAACCAAAAAGAAAACAAAAGUGCCAGGUUUUGGCAGAUCUUGUGCUCGUUCUAAUCCCCUGUCUGAGCAGCGUCGAUAGAAGAAGAAAGUGCUGCCGCCUGGGAUGGAACAUUGGUACAUGAGAAGAAUGAAAUCUCAGCCUGUUUGUCUGGAAAUUCUGAGCCUUUGUCCAACGGCUUACAUCUCCCUGCAACUUGUCAUGAUACCAAACACCAUUAGCACUUCCCUUUAGGCUGUGACUUCAUCAACACAUGCCAUGCUGCCUUUGGCCCUUAGGAUCUGCACAGCCAGUAGAAACUAUCCUCUUUAGUACAUGCAUCAUCACCCUUCGUCUAAACAAGCAAUCAAAUCAAUGAGCUGCAACAUCCAGUGAAAUCAUUAUGACUUGGUCCCAAAUGCAGUGGCGGCUGCUGGGCUUUGAAACAGGGGAUGCUCAUUUGGGUCUGACAUACAUUUAAUAUGAUUUUAGCAAAUGAAAUCAUUUACUCCGUAAGAGACUUCACCUCUGCUCUGACCUGCUCUCUCCUUGAAUCUGCAUGACUGCGUCGCGGGGGAAAAAAACUCAGCUCACUCCUCUGGCUGCUGUCAGUCAAACUCAAGGACCGCCCUGCACCGUAGACCCCCUGUGAAGCUCAGCGGAAGUGGUGUUUUUCCACCCGUUUAUCCAAUCAGGGGCUUACUUUCUCACUGUGAACUUCCAUGACUUGAAGCUACAGCUUCAAAUGUGUUGCAAUUUAUUUCCAAUAGCAUCCGUGGUGCUGCCGAGGGAAGAAAGAUCGCGUCAGAGAGCAAUGUCACUCAGCAGCAGAUUAAUGCUCAUCAUACUCACAAAAUUAAGUGCAAUCUAGUGCACUUUUAAUGCAGUUUUAAGUGUACACAUUAUCUUAUUAUUAUAUUUAAAUGGGAAGUUCAGCAUCCCUUGUAGUCAAUGAGCUGAACGAGUCUUUCAUCUGUGGUUGAGUUAUUUGCUGGUAUGUGCUUUUUUUUAUUUGACAUGCUGCACCAAAUCUUACCAGCACUUAGUGUCAAGGAAAUAUAUCCUUUAUCGAGGACAACAACACACUCAAACCAAUAAUAAUCAAGAAUAAAAUCAACAUAGGUCAAUGAAGGAGGACAGAACUUGUUAACUGGUGGUUUAACUGGUGGCUUGACCGUAUAUUAUACAAAAACAUGCAGAAAAACCUGCGACUGGCUGGUGACCAGUCCAGUGUGUGCCCCGCCUCUCGCCUGAAGUCAGCUGGGAUAGGCUCCAGCAUACUCCUGCAACGCUAGUGAGGAUAAGCGGCAUGGAUGGCUGGAUGGAUGGAUGCAGAAACAUUUCAGACAAAUCCAGCUUCAAAUUUUAGCUGUGUUGUGUUUUCAAAUUGCGACGGAAUUUGAAAGUAAAAUGUGUUUUUUGUUCAAACAUUAUUUUGAUAUUUGUUAUGCAAUGCCUUUAAUAAUAAUUAAAAAAACGAAAGCACACAGGGUUGCUACAGACUAUUUAAUUUGAGAACAAACCAAGAAAAUAAAAUAUAUGCAGCAUUUUAAAUGAAACAGUUCUUUUUUUUAACUCAUCAUAAAAGACAAUUAUAAUCACAAAGUUUAAAGAGUAUAAUUCAAAUCAUGAAUAUUUAUAAAACAUCUUGACUUCUCUCUUCAUGCUGGGCGUUUUUCUUCCAAUAGGAAAUGGAGUCACAACAUUGCAUCACAAUCCACUGGUGGGUGGGGGAGGGGGACCUCAAGGAGGAAAGGUGAAGCGCUCGUUAGCCUGGUUUACGUUUGGAAUUAAAAACAAACAAAAACACAGGGCUAGCCAGGCCUUUUUAGACAGACAUUUUGUUCUUUAUUAUAUGUUUCCAAGCAUAAAACAAAAAGUUCAAUGCCGAUACAUGUGAUACCAUUGGGAAGAUGCUUCCCCUUUUAAAUGAUGCCCCAUUUGUCAGGGCAUUUGUGGGAAUUGAAUAUGUUUGUUCUUCUGCUUUUGACUUUUGCUUUGAUUUCUAAUAGGAGCACAGACCAUGCUUAAGUGCUCAUUUGGAGUCUGCACCAAGAACUGGCAAUCCAUACCGUGUUUCCCCUCGGUUUACAGCAUUGGGAGGGCGCAGGGUGAGGAGAUUCCUCUGCAGUUACAUUUGGGGUGCAUGUGCAAAACAUAUCUGUAUUGCAAUCGCUCCCGUGUAGUUGCAUUUCACAAACUUUCAUCAUAGAAAGCAUCAGAAAGACUCCAAAUUGGUCCACAAUGUCAAUGUGGUGGCCCCUAACAUAAUGGUAGGGCAAACACUGCCAUGAUUGUUAUUGAUAAGGCGCAUGGCUCAGGUGGUAGAGUUGUCGUUGCCCAACCUGAAACUUGCUGGUUCAAUCCACCGUGUUCCUGUGAGCCUGUAAAAGUAUCCUUGGAAACACGACAGAAGCUUUAUACUGUACAAGUGAAAGAAAGUCCUUUGAUGUGGAAACUAACUGCUAUGUCUGGGACACGUGCAGGACAAUGACGAAACACAGCUGAUCUUAUCGAAUUCACUCUUGGCCCAUCCUGACAAUUUUCGCGCCCUACCUACAUGACCUACCUCCACAGUUUGAGAUUAGAAAGAAUGGAGUGGUCUGCCAACAGUCCUGACUUCAACCCCACACUUCGAUGAAAUCAGCUAAGGUGUGCUUUUCUUGCUAGAGUCACCAACAAAACUUGUGAAAGUUCCAGGCUGUGUUGUGUGUGGUUUUUCCUCAAACUGUUGAUCCUCAUGACCUUAUUACUGAAGACUUUAAUCCUCCAAUGCACACUAACAAACAAAUAGAAGAUUUGGCACAGGUAGUAAUGAUUGGACGGACUACAAUAUUAAGUUCAUGUACAUGUUAGUCUGUGGUCAGAUCCGUAAACAGCAAGAAGUGACACCACACAAGUACAGUCAAACCUCGACUUUCAUACGCCCCAGUUUUUGUACGGUUCGGUCCAUCCAUCUUCCGCUUAUUGGGUCCAAGUCAUGGAUAGGGAAGCGCAGACUUCCGGUCUCCAGCCACCUAUUCCAGUUCCACUGGGGGGAACAAAGAGGCAUUCCCAGACCAGACAUGAGGCAUAAUUCCUCCAGUAUGUCCUAGGUCUGCCCCGGGGCCUCCGCUUGGUUGGGCAUGACCGGAACACCUCGCCAGGGUGGCGUCCAGGAGCCAUUCGGACGAGACGACCCAGCCAUCUCAACUGGCUCCUCUCGAUGUGAAGGAGCAGUGGCUCCUCUCUGAGCUCCUCACCCUAUUUCUUAGGGUGACUCCAACCAUCCUACGGCGGAAACAAAUUUCGGCCGCUCGUUCUUUCUAUCACAACCCAAACCUAAUUACCAUACAGUAGGUGAGAGUAGGAACGUAGAUCGACCGGUAAAUCGAGAGCUUUGCCUUCCGGCUCAGCUCUCUUUUCACUACGAUUCACUACAUUACUGCAGACAUUGCGCCGAUCCGCCUGUCGAUCUCACGCGCCAACCUUCCCUCACCCGUCAACAAGACCCUGAGAUACUUUAACUCCUCCACCUGGGGCAAGACCUCACUCCCAACUCGAAGGGUGCAAUCUAUUGUAUGAUUCGGUUUUUGUCCAAAAUUUUUCCUUGGUUUUCAUCCACUGUCUGGUUUUUAAUGCGGUAUUGCACGUAACAAACUAAUCCGUUUGCGCUGUAUUGUAUCAUUCCGCGACAUCAAGUGCCCAAACAAAGCGCCCUAUGCAUUGCCGACUCACUGUCUGUGCAUUUUUUAUUGAUUGCGACUUUACUGCUCUGCCAUUAGGCCAAAGAAAGUUGCACGGGAUGUACGGGGAGUCUGCAUCAACAAGAAGUUCCAUCCAUUCGUGGGUUAUAAUUGUUUCACCUUGUUUUCUGCAUGUGCAACUGUAAUUAUGUUCUCUAAAAUGUAUUUUUGUUCAUAUAUUUGGGUGUACGGAACAGAUUAAUUGGAUUUAUAUUAUUUACUAUGAGAAAAACUGACUCGUUUUCCGUAUAUUUCAGUUUUGGAAAAGCGAGGUACCAGUGUACUGACAUCACAGAGAACAGAACACACGGCUGAUGAUGUUGACUUAUGGCCACCUGGUACUGGAACUUGUGUAAGGAGUAAGAUGUGUAGGUCUUCAUCGUUGAUGUCAAGGUAUGCGUGUAACCUGAGAGGUGUUGCUUUACCCUGCAGCGUGUGAUCUGUAUGUAGCAACUGCUCAAAGUACAUAGCAAUUCAUGAUAGCACACAUUUUCUCUUUGUGAAAUGCAUGUUCCUUACAAACGGGGCAUCAUUCAGAAGGGAAUAGUAGAGUCAUUAUCUACCAAACAGAAAUGUAUCUUUUGUGUUGUGGCACAGGCUAGCCCAGCAGAACCUCUCUGAAGAGAAUUUCCCCGAAUGAAAACAAUGAAUCAGGACACACAUAUCAACAUAUUUCCAUACAUGUGGCUGAUAAUCCAGCACCCCAUGUGUCUGAAUAUGAUACCAAAACAUAUCGUAAGUUUACAGCAGGCAAACAGGUCCGAAAAGGAUCGUAAUAGUAACAGAUUAACAAAAAUCUUUACAAAAUAUGACCUGACAUGGUCAAUUCAUACACAGCCAUCGUAAAAAGAACAAUUCUAUCUGGGAUUUUUUUCUGUACAAAUGACAAACAUCACAGAAUGACAACAUCAACAUUGCUAAUUUUACAUAGCAAAUUUUCAGACUUAGGGGGUCGGGGGAGGUAGAGACACGGUGAUCGGAGGAAAGUCACCUGACAGGAUGUGAUGUAACACACAGGUGUGCAGGUGGAACACGGUCAGGGUAGGAUAACAGCAACCGCUUAUACAAAAUGUGCAAAACACCAUCCUCCAACGAAAAACACAACACCUCCCAUGUUGCAAUGACUUGUAGGAAUAUGAGGAAACAAUCUGUGCUUGUUUUGGAAUACUUAACCCCAGCGUGAAACCAUCCCAAACAUGGUGGAGUUUGUCCCCGCCGGGGGUGAACUAGACAGAUAUAUCAGUGUUUGAUUUUGUUAAGCAAUCGAAGCCACGCCACAUGCGUCCUUAUCAUUGUGUCUGGAAGUGCUGUGGAGACGCAAACGUGACCCGGUGCUGCCCCCUUAGUCAUGUGACCUCCGUCAUUGAUGCCGAGUGGUUCUGAAAAUGGAUGUGGGAGGAAGGAAAGAGGAUGGAGAAAGAUUAUUGGGACAAGAGAGGGCAAAUGGAAGGGGUGUGAAGGGAAAAGGAAGGAAGUGGGGGUGAAUGCAAAGAGGAAAACAUCAAACAAGUGUUAGGAGUGCUCCGCCUGAGCUGCUGUUAGUGUUUCAUUAGGGAGACACGGACAAGGUGCAUGCAUAUGCUCAUGCCUGUGUGUUGUUGAUGAGUCAUUUGUAAAGAAAGAAAGGAAAGCACUCUCUGUCUCACAAAACAGUAAAUGAUGACAAAUUGCUGUGGAUUUCAGUGAAUUAAGCGUCCACAAAUAGAGCCUGAAAGCCUGGAGGGAACGCGGCCAAUUAAUGAAAACAAUAGAUUGUGUGUUUUCCAAGCUACCUGUGCGCUGAGGGUCUCCAGAGGACUCUCGACACGAGGAAAAGUCAUCAGGGGGAGGCCGCGGUAAUCUUCGCUCUUCUGUUUGGUUGUUGCGCCGUGGACGCCUUUGAAGUUGUUCACAACGCAAACGCCCUGCGGUGUUGGGACACACACGUAAGUGGAUGAUCACACCAGUGUAGAUUUUGGACAAAAAAACUGCAUUGGCAUUUCAUCAGGCAGCCUCAUAUAUUGCAGGAGCCUGUAAACCUAUGCCUGUACAGUUGCAUGUCACUUUUUGUAUAAUUGGGUCUUACUCAAAAUUUUUCACCAGAAUUUUGCCUCACCUUUUGUACAGUGUUGCACUGAACAAACUAGUUUUGUUUGCCUUCCACUGUAUCAUUCCACAAAAUCAAGUUCCCAAACAAAGCACCCUAUGCGUUUCUGACACCGUCCAUUAUUUUUUUAUUGAGUGCAACUGCUAAAUAAACUAUAAUUAUUCUCGAGAAAAUGUAUUUUGCGUUCAUAUUUUUUAUGGUGUUUGGAAUGGAUUCAUUGGAUUUACAUUAUUUCCUAUGGGAAACGCCUUUUGGAACGAAUUAAUAAAGAAAAUUGACAAGGAUUAAGCACAAAACAGUGUGUUCAAGUAAUACUAUUGCUCGGGUUUAUCACCUGCCGCUGCACUGUUCAUUUUUGUCAAUUUAAAUACAGUGGAACCGUCAUUGCUCCGUUCCAGGAGGUCCGACUCUAAUCUAAAUGUACAAUAACAAUUUUCCCAUAAGAAAUCAUGUAAAUCCAGUUCAUCUGUUCCAGAAAGCCAAAAAUGUUAACACAAAGGAUGUUUUUAUUGUUGACAAAGAUGCGAGACCAACACGGACACCACCUUUGUGUUUUGCCAUGGGUGAUUUCUUGAAUUCAACAUGCUGACACAAUUUUGGGUCAUUUUGCAGCCAUGAUCAAAAGAAAAGCAGAGACUUGAGGUAAGAGACACAUUUGAAGUAGAGAAAUAACUCAUAGCAAAACAGGAAGGUGGUGUCCUUGUUUUGAUCUCACUGCCACGUCGUGUCUUUGGCAACAAUCAUGUCUUCAUUGAAGGUAAAGGUAACCUUAAAUGUUCAUUUAUCCUUUUCAUUCAUAAUGUAUGUGUAUGUAGAUGCAUUUUGAAUUGUAUUGUGAAUGUAAAACUAUAAAAACUUUGUUUGAGUGAACAUUUUUGUCUUUCUGGAACAGAUGGGUAGCUACAAAUGAAGCAAUUACCAGCGGUGUGGACUCGAGUCACAAUUUUGAUGAAUUUGGAUGCAACUUGACAAUAUCUCGAAAGGCUUGAAACCCGACUUGGACUUUGACAUCAAUGACUCGAGACUUGACCUGAAAAUACUUGAGAUUUUCAGUGAAUGUGUGGAGUAAAUUGUGUCCCCAUUCAAAGUAUUCAACUAACAUGAUCGUUGUUAUGUCAUUUCCAGAAAGACAACAUAUUUUCCCCCAGAAUCUGCCUUAUUGAAUGCAUCAAUUGAUGUCCAAUCAGGUUUAAGAACAAUGGUCUUGAUUGUCACACUGCUCUUAUUUUAUUUUAAAUAACAAAACAAUUCAAAAUACACUCAUUAUAUUUGUCAAAUGUAAUAGAUUGUUACAUUGUGAAAACGGCAUUUUAUUUCGGAGACACUAGACAGUGCUCAUGACUCGUAAGGACGACAAAAUGUCAACCCUAUGACUUCGGACUUGACUGGACCUGCCUGUUUUGACCUGACACUUGACUUGGACUUCCACGUCUUUGAGAUUAAAGACUUGAGACUUGCAAAACACUUGCUUGCUCCCACCUCUGGUAAUUACUCUUCCAAAAAUGACUUGAUAGAAGCGCGCAGGGUGGCAGUGUAAAUCCAAAAUGUAAUAUUCACUUAUGUUCAUGACAGAUCACAUCUACACCUGCAAGAAACCUCAUUUCGGUAAACCAUCCACUUUGUUGUUUAGAUAGCGAAAGACAAUAUCUUCUACCCAUUGGUGUUUCCUGUCAUCCAGGCUCGGAGAGAUUGCUUGUUUGGCAGCAGCAUAGAAAAUCCCAUUAAACAUCUUCAGACACUGCAGACAAGACGAUAUACUGUAAGAUUUUGUUGUCAGCAUUGAAACUAACCUGGAUGGACUCUUAUCUUCUAGAGCUUUGUCUACAUGAGGAUGCCUCAGAACUUGAAUGCCUGGAAAAACACUUGCUGGAACCCAACAUUUGUCGUAAAGUUGAACAAAAACAGGGCCAGGUGUGCAUCAGUCUUUCUCUAAGUCUUUUAGAUGUUUUCUUUUUUGUAUGUGAACAGUAUAUUUCUUCAGAAAUGUUUCAAAGCCUGUGAAGAAAAUGGUACUGACACUGAAAGCAGUCCUCAUCCAAGAUAAGUUAUACUAUUCACAUCAGUUUCUUUACUGUCAUUUCCUUUUAAGAUGCCGUCAGACUACCUCUACGUGAAUUACGCUGAACACGUUCGCUGAUUUAUUCUCCCAUUUAUCAAAUUUGUGUCUUCUUGACAUCAGCCUUUAGCUCGAUGAAAUGCUUAAUAGGAGCGCUCGCUCGCCGCCAGUGAACUGGCAGUCUUUUCUACGUCUCAAGUGGUUGACGGGAUGAUUCAAUUCACUCCUCUGCUGCAAGAGCCCUGAUUGUACAGGAAUUUAACCCGGAUUCCCUUUAAGAGGCCGUCCGUCAACCUUCGUCCGUCAUGAGAUGACAAGGCAAGCGAUGAGCUGCAUCAGAACCGCUGGUCCCACGUGGAGGUAAAAGCAGCCCUCCUCAGUUCAAGGUUACUAGUUAAUAAGCUAGAAAUAAGAACGUUUGAAACUGCUGAGAUGAUGAUUGGCUUUUCUGUGUUAUCUUCCCCCAGAGAUCACUGACUCAGUGCACGUCACUUUAUAUAGGUCAGUCAUGAAAAGCUUACAUUCUUGACCAUACUUUUUCCAGCCUCAAGAACGAGCUUCCCCAUAUAAACUCGCACAACUUUUAACUUUUCUCAACCAAGAGACUCCAAACUACCGCACAGGAGCCAUCUGUACGCAUUGUGGGCCGCUGACGUUGACGGAUCUGUCCCUUUAACUGAAAAUACACGUGACAUUACGGUGGCUGGGAAGUGCAAAACACUUUUACAAACUAUGAAACACUUCCACAUUUCAGAAAACAAAUGAACAAGACUCCGAACUAAAGGAAGGGGAAUGUACCAAAUCCCGGAUUGACGGGCAUGGAGGCCAAUAACGGUGCAUUUCGAUGAACUGAUUAGCUCUAAACUUGUGAGUGUGCAUGGUGUGUUGCAAAAAUUGGUGAUCAAACAGCCUACGCUUAUCUUCUGCACCAAAUAGAGUUUCUAACAUGUCUAUCUAUGUUCUUACACCAAAUCGGUCUGCAUGAAUACGUUUUUGCAUGUGUCCGUCAUGAUUUGGCUGCACGGUUAAAUACUCGGCAUAUAACAAGCAAUCAGAUCAUACAUAUGUAUCUAUACUGUAUAUAUUACAAUCAUCUUGGCGGUUUAUUUAUUGUUUUUAUUAAAUAAUGGGGCACUCACAGAGCUGCAGCGUUUAGUUGAAGUGGUAUGAGGUGGACAUGAACAAAAAGAUUAGUUGACGUGGCUGCCAAUCAAGAUUUGAUACAUUCCCCUUCCGGUUUAAAUUUGUAUCAGCUCUUGUUAAUGUGUUUUCUGAAAUGGAAAUUACUUUCGAGUUUUGUUCAUUUCUACACUGAAAUGUUACGUUUUUUUCAACUGCUGUUCAUGUGUUUGCUGAAAUGCUAAUUACUUUAACUUUGGCUAACGUGUUUUCUGAAAUGUACUUUUGUUUUGACUUUUGCUCAUUUCUAUUCUGAAAUGCCAAUGUUUGAUCUUUGCCAAUGUGUUAUAUGAAAUGGAAAUGAGUUUUGCAUUUGUCAACAGGUUUUCUGAAUUUUACAUUUGUUUUGAGUUUUGCUCAUUUCUUUUCUGAAAUGCUUUUUUAGUUCAGCUUUUCUCGACGUCUUUUCUGAAAUGUAAACGUGUUUCAUGUUUGUUCACUUUUCUGAAAUCUUAAUUUGUUGCGCCUUCUGUUAGUGCCUUUUCUGACAUGGAAAUCUGUUUCGAUUUUUGUCAAUUUAUUUGCUGAAAUGUGACUUUGUUUCAACUUAUGUUAAUGUGUUUGUUCUGAAACAUAAAUGUCUUUUGCAUUUGUUAAUGUUUUUUCUGAAAUGUAAAUUAGUUUUGUUAUUUUCUGAAAUGUUACUUCCUUUUCUGAGAUGUGUGCUAGUAAAGGUUUUUGGUACUUCCCA